GUGGGGAAUUUUGGACAAUGGGCGCAAGCCUGAUCCAGCAAUGCCGCGUGCAGGAAGAAGGCCUUCGGGUUGUAAACUGCUUUUGUACGGAACGAAACGGUCCUGGCUAAUAUCCGGGGCUAAUGACGGUACCGUAAGAAUAAGCACCGGCUAACUACGUGCCAGCAGCCGCGGUAAUACGUAGGGUGCGAGCGUUAAUCGGAAUUACUGGGCGUAAAGCGUGCGCAGGCGGUGCUGUAAGACAGGCGUGAAAUCCCCGGGCGCAACCUGGGAAUUGCGCUUGUGACUGCAGUGCUGGAGUGCGGCAGAGGGGGAUGGAAUUCCGCGUGUAGCAGUGAAAUGCGUAGAUAUGCGGAGGAACACCGAUGGCGAAGGCAAUCCCCUGGGCCUGCACUGACGCUCAUGCACGAAAGCGUGGGGAGCAAACAGGAUUAGAAACCCCGGUAGUCC
rnacentral:rRNA from 1 species